rnacentral:piRNA from 1 species
UAGGAAAAUACAUGGUAUCUUUAAGAUGU